GGGCGUUAAGUUGCAGGGUAUAGACCCGAAACCCGGUGAUCUAGCCAUGGGCAGGUUGAAGGUUGGGUAACACUAACUGGAGGACCGAACCGACUAAUGUUGAAAAAUUAGCGGAUGACCUGUGGCUGGGGGUGAAAGGCCAAUCAAACCGGGAGAUAGCUGGUUCUCCCCGAAAGCUAUUUAGGUAGCGCCUCGUGAAUUCAUCUCCGGGGGUAGAGCACUGUUUCGGCUAGGGGGCCAUCCCGGCUUACCAACCCGAUGCAAACUGCGAAUACCGGAGAAUGUUAUCACGGGAGACACACGGCGGGUGCUAACGUCCGUCGUGAAGAGGGAAACAACCCAGACCGCCAGCUAAGGUCCCAAAGUCAUGGUUAAGUGGGAAACGAUGUGGGAAGGCCCAGACAGCCAGGAUGUUGGCUUAGAAGCAGCCAUCAUUUAAAGAAAGCGUAAUAGCUCACUGGUCGAGUCGGCCUGCGCGGAAGAUGUAACGGGGCUAAACCAUGCACCGAAGCUGCGGCAGCGACACUGUGUGUUGUUGGGUAGGGGAGCGUUCUGUAAGCCUGUGAAGGUGGCCUGUGAGGGUUGCUGGAGGUAUCAGAAGUGCGAAUGCUGACAUAAGUAACGAUAAAGCGGGUGAAAAGCCCGCUCGCCGGAAGACCAAGGGUUCCUGUCCAACGUUAAUCGGGGCAGGGUGAGUCGACCCCUAAGGCGAGGCCGAAAGGCGUAGUCGAUGGGAAAC
rnacentral:rRNA from 2 species